AACCUGGUGGGGAUUUGGCUGUUUCUAACCAACCCCACCCCAAGAUGAGUAAUGUAAAGACUGUGUUUCCUCUUUCUUACUUUUUCCUCUUUCUGCAUCCAAUAUUGAUUAUGCCUCCAGGACCACCAACAGUUCUUCUACUUUCCAGCUUUCAUGCCACAGGGGGAAGCUGGUGUGAAUCAGGUACUAGAACCAUGUCCUAGCAGUGGCUGUCCAGUGUAUUUCCCAGCUUUGAGGACCAUCCCUCUCCUAUUUGGAACAAUCAUGUUAAAUCUCAGACCUGCCCUGCUGUUGAUGGAGCUAUGGGCUGUACUGCUACAUCAAAGGGAAGGCUUCCUUUUUUUCUCUUUUUUUUUGUGUGUGUAUAUAAGGGAUGAGGGUUAAAUGAGUUGGGAGAGAGCAGUGAGGAAAAGAAGGCCACUGUGGACACUGAAGCUGCUUCUGGA